AGGCGUUUCGUGCACAUCCUUUCCCAGGCAAGCAUCGCCCACACUCUUCCGUGGUGCCGCUUGCUACAGUGAGAACUGCCGCCGCAGUCACCGUCGCGAGACCGGCCCACCCCAGCAUCGUCGCCAUUCGCCUCAGGUUCCC
rnacentral:SRP_RNA from 1 species